UUAGAAAUAUAGAGAAGAACAAACAAGCAAAGAAGCAAAAAAGAACCAAAGAUUAAAUAAAGUCAUCAACAGGCAUAAAUUAUGCUUACAGAAUAGCCAAAUACAUGUGAGGCACGGAUACCAUGAUUACCUUGUAUGUAUAGACAAACGUUAUUUUCCUUUGCAUGUUUACCACGAGGAAUUCACCUUUCCUGUGUUUCAUUAUUAGUACACACUGAGUAAUGGAGCCUAAAACACCAAAAGCACCUGCACCAUAGCAGGCUCAGAAAUAUUACUCUGUAUAUGAGAUAGAGCCGACAGCGGCUCCACCCCCAGUCCCAGAUCUUGAGAGAAUUUCCAAGCAUCAAGUGUGCCUGUAUCUUCUUGAGGUCUGUCUUUGAGUUUGCCAUGUGACUGCAGUACAGCCUAAGGCUGUGGUUGUCAUAUUCCCAUGGCCACCCCGGGCUGUUACCCAGCUGGAGAUCAUGCCAUUUUACAUCCCAUAAUACUGUGUCCCUUUCAUAUUUUGUUAAGAUAAUCUCUCUUAAUGUUUGAGUGUUUUGCACCCCAUAUAAAGUUACCAGCCUGUACCUAUACAGUCUCUAAAAGAAACAAGCCUUUAUUGGUGACAUUGACAAAAGGAAACAAAUCAAAAUCUUCAGCUAAAUUAUACAGAUUGUACCAGUCUAAGAUUUGCAGACCUUUUCUUCUGAGAUCUGUCUUCAAAGCAAUCAACAAAAGGAAUAAAUUAAAUAUACAAAUUCUCUUGUAAGGAAUAUCUUCAUUCCUUAUAAAACUAGCUGAAUUCUUUUGUUUAGGAAGAUAAUUAAGUGCCAAUAUUUCAGACCUACUUUACCCCAGAACCUGAAAUGUUGUUACAUUCUAUUUCACGCUCUGUGUAACACUGGGAACAGCACCUUAAUGGAAUCACCAGCACAGCGGGAGCACACGUUUGUGCUCUCCUACUCUACUAGCCUGCACAGAACUAGUUUUUAAUACGCUUUGCAAAAAGUUCCAGCACUACAGAAGACCAUAGUGGAAAUAAAGGACCUUUCCCCCCAAUCCAGCUCUAAACCCUGCAGCAAGCUACCACGCAGGAAAGACUUCCUCUGGCUCGGGUGGAAAGUGGACAGCAUCACACUGACAUGUUUGGGGGCUUUGUUCCUCUAAUCGCCUUCCUGGCUGAGCAAUGAAGAUAAUAGGACCCUAAAUCUGACUUUCCCCUUUCUGCUUCUCACAGUGCGACUGUGUAGCCCAAACUGUAUUUGGUCAGAUGAAAUAACUAGACCCAUACUUGGAAAACCUGUGAUCAUGCCGGGAAAACAAAUCCCAAGGAUCAGACUGAAAAGCGAAACCCUGUCCCACUGAUUCCAACAGAGGCAGGCCGGGGGCCUGGCCUUACCCAGCCUCUCCCUAUUUACCUUGUAGAGAGACUAACAAUACAGUGCAUGAAAAGAAAACAAUUACAAUCAGAUACCCAUGCGAUGUGUCCUCUCCGUAUUUACAUUCAAACGUUUCUGUUUACACUCCUUGCCUCACCUUCUCAGUAGGUUAAAGAAACACAUUUCUCCUAUCCCCUUUGGCAAGAAAAAUUAACGCCCUGGGGCCAGAUUCCACUCUUCCAUGCAGCAACUGAAUUACGGAGCAACCUCCCUGACUGCAGUGGAGCUCAGGCCUGAUCCAAUGCUGUGGAAGUCAGUGGGAGCCCUUAUAUUGGCCUUAAUGGACAUUGGCCUGACCCUCCCUGUGGAAUUUACAUGGUUGAAAAUGAGAACGGAUUUAGUCCCUUAUCACGGAGUCCCUGCAAUGGUCAAAAAGAAAAACCCGAAAUCACUCAUCCAACACUGAAGACACUGGAAACUAUCAUGACCCUUUCUGAACCUUGGACGUCACCCUCAAGCAAACUCACAAAGAGAACACUUUAGCUCCAGUUUCAAGGACUGAUCGAGCCCAUUAUGUUAAGGCAUCAAAUGGCUUUACGCUGUUUCCUUUAAGAAAAGAAAAAAAAGUGGACCUCAGGA